AGUGGAUGUGCAAGUGUAGCUCUGUCAAUUUGGGCGGAGAGAGUGCCAUAGAUUAAGGUGUAAAUGCCAUCCCUAGUACGAGUCAGUCCGUGAGGCAUAAGGUUGUUAUGGCGGCUGCGGGGACCAACGGCGCUGACCCGACAGGCGGGACACAUGAGUCGGUCAGUGUUGGAAGGAAACGAAGCCAUGCUGAAUCCCUGCUUCCUGUCAAGCCAAUGAAGGAACAUGUCCUGCCCAUCACCCCACCCCUCAAGAAACCAUAGAGCACACCAGGCAGCAUGAAGCGAGCCCACCACCAAGCCUUCCCACCCACACCACGCACUGGGGUACAUUGUGAAAAAAAAAAAAAAAAAAGGAAGUGGAAGGUGGAUCAUGAA
rnacentral:misc_RNA from 1 species